CCCCUCCAGCACAACUGGACAUGCUGCUGUAAGUGUAGUCUUCUUAUCCAUCACAAUAGGUAAUUUGCCUUUUUAAAAAAUUUUAUUUUUGAGACAGAGUCUGGCUCUGUCACCCGGGCUGGAGUGCAAUGGCACAAUUUUGGCUCACUGCAACCUCCACCUCCCAGGUUCAAGUGAUUCUCGUGCCUCAGCUUCCCAAGUAGCUGGGACCACAGGCGUGUGCCACCAUGCCUGGCUAAUUUUUUGUAUUUUUAGUAGAGACAGGGUUUUGCCAUAUUGGCCAGGCUGGUCUCAAACUCCUGGCCUCAAGUGAUUCUCCUGCCUCGGCCUCCCAAAGUGCUGAGAUUAUAGGCAUGAGCCACCAUGCCCAGCUGUGCUUUUUCAAUCAAUCUAUGUACCUUAGAAAAGGUUGCAGUGAGCCGAGAUUGUGUCACUGCACUCCAGCCUAGGCGACAGAGAGAGAUUCCAUCUCAAAAAACAAAACAAAACAAAACAAAAACAAAACAAACAAAAAAAACUGCUCCAGAAGCCCUAGCCAAAGUCUAAAGGCGGCCACUGGCCUGGGUGGCCAAGAGCUAACAUCUUUACUCAAGGUUUUACACAAUGCAGGGACUGUGCUGAAUUCUUUACCUGGCUUGGGAGAAAAAUGUUUAGCACAGUGACAAAAGGUUAUCUAUAUCUAUAGUAAAUACAAUUCUUUAAAAUUGACAAAAGCAAUACCAAUAACCCAAUAGAAAAAUGGGCAAAGGAUACAAAUAGGCAGUUCUCAGAAGUGCAAAUCAGAAUAACCAAUAAACAUGUGAAAAGAUGCUUAGAUUUAUUAAUAGAGAAUUGCAAACUGAAGUACAAAUGAGGCUGGGCAAUUCUUUGCUGUGGAGACUGUCCUGUGGACUGUAGUU
rnacentral:lncRNA from 10 species